rnacentral:rRNA from 1 species
GGGACGUAAAGCGCGCGUAGGUGGCCAAUUAAGUCAAAUGUGAAAUCCCCGAGCUUAACUUGGGAAUUGCAUUCGAUACUGGUUGGCUAGAGUAUGGGAGAGGAUGGUAGAAUUCCAGGUGUAGCGGUGAAAUGCGUAGAGAUCUGGAGGAAUACCGAUGGCGAAGGCAGCCAUCUGGCCUAAUACUGACACUGAGGUGCGAAAGCAUGGGGAGCAAACAGGAUUAGAUACCCUGGUAGUCCAUGCCGUAAACGAUGUCUACUAGCCGUUGGGGCCUUUGAGGCUUUAGUGGCGCAGCUAACGCGAUAAGUAGACCGCCUGGGGAGUACGGUCGCAAGACUAAAACUCAAAUGAAUUGACGGGGGCCCGCACAAGCGGUGGAGCAUGUGGUUUAAUUCGAUGCAACGCGAAGAACCUUACCUGGUCUUGACAUAGUAAGAACUUUCCAGAGAUGGAUUGGUGCCUUCGGGAACUUACAUACAGGUGCUGCAUGGCUGUCGUCAGCUCGUGUCGUGAGAUGUUGGGUUAAGUCCCGCAACGAGCGCAACCCUUUUCCUUAUUUGCCAGCGGGUUAAGCCGGGAACUUUAAGGAUACUGCCAGUGACAAACUGGAGGAAGGCGGGGACGACGUCAAGUCAUCAUGGCCCUUACGACCAGGGCUACACACGUGCUACAAUGGUCGGUACAAAGGGUUGCUACCUCGCGAGAGGAUGCUAAUCUCAAAAAGCCGAUCGUAGUCCGGAUUGGAGUCUGCAACUCGACUCCAUGAAGUCGGAAUCGCUAGU